GUCUGAUGGAGCACGCCGCGUGAGUGAAGAAGGGUUUCGGCUCGUAAAACUCUGUUGUUAAAGAAGAACAUAUCUGAGAGUAACUGUUCAGGUAUUGACGGUAUUUAACCAGAAAGCCACGGCUAACUACGUGCCAGCAGCCGCGGUAAUACGUAGGUGGCAAGCGUUGUCCGGAUUUAUUGGGCGUAAAGCGAGCGCAGGCGGUUUUUUAAGUCUGAUGUGAAAGCCUUCGGCUCAACCGAAGAAGUGCAUCGGAAACUGGGAAACUUGAGUGCAGAAGAGGACAGUGGAACUCCAUGUGUAGCGGUGAAAUGCGUAGAUAUAUGGAAGAACACCAGUGGCGAAGGCGGCUGUCUGGUCUGUAACUGACGCUGAGGCUCGAAAGUAUGGGUAGCAAACAGGAUUAGAUACCCUGGUAGUCCAUACCGUAAACGAUGAAUGCUAAGUGUUGGAGGGUUUCCGCCCUUCAGUGCUGCAGCUAACGCAUUAAGCAUUCCGCCUGGGGAGUACGGCCGCAAGGCUGAAACUCAAAGGAAUUGACGGGGGCCCGCACAAGCGGUGGAGCAUGUGGUUUAAUUCGAAGCUACGCGAAGAACCUUACCAGGUCUUGACAUACUAUGCAAAUCUAAGAGAUUAGACGUUCCCUUCGGGGACAUGGAUACAGGUGGUGCAUGGUUGUCGUCAGCUCGUGUCGUGAGAUGUUGGGUUAAGUCCCGCAACGAGCGCAACCCUUAUUAUCAGUUGCCAGCAUUAAGUUGGGCACUCUGGUGAGACUGCCGGUGACAAACCGGAGGAAGGUGGGGAUGACGUCAAAUCAUCAUGCCCCUUAUGACCUGGGCUACACACGUGCUACAAUGGAUGGUACAACGAGUUGCGAACUCGCGAGAGUAAGCUAAUCUCUUAAAGCCAUUCUCAGUUCGGAUUGUAGGCUGCAA
rnacentral:rRNA from 2 species